rnacentral:rRNA from 1 species
UACGUAGGGGGCUAGCGUUGUCCGGAAUCAUUGGGCGUAAAGAGCGUGUAGGCGGUUCGGUAAGUCCGCUGUGAAAGUCCAGGGCUCAACCCUGGAAUGCCGGUGGAUACUGUCGGGCUAGAGUCCGGAAGAGGCGAGUGGAAUUCCUGGUGUAGCGGUGAAAUGCGCAGAUAUCAGGAGGAACACCGGCGGCGAAGGCGGGUCUCUGGGCCAUAACUGACGCUGAGGAGCGAAAGCGUGGGGAGCGAACAGG